CUAGGGCCCAAAGGCAAAACCGUAACUUCGAGGAACGGGUUAACUUACUGAGUUCCAGGCAGAGACCUUGUUCAAAGGUCACUACAGGUUUGUCUUUCUCAAGCAGCAUAUGGACCUUACUCCCUCUGACCUCUUUGCUGCCAUCUUCCCACUGUUGGAGACCCUGAAGCAAGCAUGCUGUGGUGGAGACAGCGGGAAGCUCAGAGGUGGACACAGAAGAAACAUGGUGCUGGAGAGAGACCCAUAGCUGCUGAGCAAGCCUGGGCACGGCACGAAGGACCUGCUUUCCUAAGAGCACUAAGGAGAGUGACCUGGUCAGGCUGAGAGAUAAGAAAGCUUCCUUAGCCUGCCUGGCUACAGCUUCUACAGCUUCUGCCUUCUACAGCUACAGCGGUGCCAGCAGUGAUGACUGCAGGCACAAGCCAGGCAGGGGAUAGCACCCGGUGGAGACAUGUGCGGCGGCUUCCCGUGAGGUGGAAUCCUCAUGUCUUAGAAAGAAGGGAAGAACAGGGGUCAUUCUGUCUUCUCCCAAGCCACAUGGGGAGCACAGCAUAUGCUCCCUAGAUUUGUGGACUGUGGCUGAAGAUUUCAGAGGCAAAAGAGGGCAGUUCUCAGCCGUGUGCCCAGAAGAAGCCGGUGUCAGGUGUGAGGUACAAACGCAUCCUUGGAAUAGAAAUGAGCCUCCCCCUGUGCAAGAGAGCCAGAGUGUGCUGCCUCGGUUCCCCGCCCGGCAGCCCCCACCACUCCAGCCUCAGAUGGGGGAACCCUCAAGAGAGGAAGCCACUCCUUAGACUCGAAGUCUUUUCCUGGUUCCAAAGACUGCGUAGAUGUCAGGGUCUUUCAGGAACCUUUGAAGGCUUUUCUGAGCAGUCAGCUUGUGCACGUGCCCCUACACAGCGGAGACCACCCAGUGGAAUAAGAGAUCGAGGUCCUUCUCCACACACAGUGCUGAGGGGAAAGAUGGACUGUGUUCUGCUGUCUUGCCACUAGGUGGUGGAAUGCAUCAGACCGCGGAGCUGUGCAGGUACGCAUUACAGAGAAUCCUAACUACAUCCUUCUCUCCAGCUUCCUCAAUACAAGCAGAGACAAGUCAGCUCCCUGUCUCCAGGAUGGGGUGAGCAGUGGACUCAAGAGGGGUGCAGAGAGAAUCCCCCAGGACAGAAGCAAGCGCAGGACAGACCUGAAAUCAAGUACAGUCAAUGCCAGAGGAUGCACCAGGUCCUCCAGAUUGCAGAGGUACCUGGAGGCUCGGGACACCAUCCUGGGAGGGACUUUUGGUUGAGAACUUUACAUCUGAGAGAGCCGAGUUCACACCAGCUCCUCAGCAGGCAGCCCGGGUGUGAACCUCCAGGACUCAACACUCAACACUAAGAAAUGAGAGGCGCCACACUUAGGGAAUUCCUGUCAGCCUGCUGACUUCCAGCUGUUGGGAUUGUAGCAGCUUAUUUUAGGCUAUGUAUUCCUAAAAUGAGCUUUGGAGGAAGUGAGAAUUUUAGGCUAAGGGUCAAAGCACAUAAUCCUAACAAAUGGUAAAUAAAUUAGGUGCUGCAUGGUUCAUGUAGGUACAACAUCCACGUAACCACUCGGGGAGGACUGUCCUGUGCUUUGGGAAGGGUUAAUCACCUCCUCAUCCUUCUCACCUGGCCUGAGCCCGGGAGAUGAGGAGAGUGUGUAUCACGGCCCCAAGUAGGGACAGAGCAGAUGGACAAGAUUGAAGGUGGUGGCUUAGAGCUAGGUUCAAUUCCCAGCACCUAUGUGGCAGAUAAUAAUUAUCAGCAGUUCUAGUACCAAGGGAAUCUGACGCCCUCUUCUGGCUUCCACGGGCACUGCACACACAUGGUGCACAGACAGACAUGGAACAAAACACUCAUACCCAUAAACAAUUAAAAAUAAAUAAAUUCCUAAAGAAAGACUUGAGGUGGUGUGACCUCAUACAUUAGAACACAUUCCAUGUUCAAAGUCAGUGACAUCUGCGGACCCCUACCAAAGA